rnacentral:rRNA from 1 species
CCUACGGGAGGCAGCAGUGGGGAAUAUUGCGCAAUGGGCGAAAGCCUGACGCAGCGACGCCGCGUGAGGGAUGAAGGUCUUCGGAUCGUAAACCUCUGUCAGCAGGGAAGAACGGUCACUGUGCUAAUCAGCAGUGAAUUGACGGUACCUGCAAAGGAAGCACCGGCUAACUCCGUGCCAGCAGCCGCGGUAAUACGGAGGGUGCGAGCGUUAAUCGGAAUUACUGGGCGUAAAGCGCUCGUAGGCGGUAUGUCAAGUCACGGGUGAAAUCCCCGCGCUCAACGUGGGAACUGCCUUUGAUACUGGCAGACUGGAGUGUGUGAGAGGAUAGUGGAAUUCCAGGUGUAGGAGUGAAAUCCGUAGAUAUCUGGAGGAACAUCAGUGGCGAAGGCGACUAUCUGGCACAUAACUGACGCUGAGGAGCGAAAGCGUGGGUAGCAAACAGGAUUAGAUACCCUUGUAGUC